rnacentral:rRNA from 1 species
CCCUUAGACGUUCUGGGCCGCACGCGCGCUACACUGACCAGUGCAACAAGCAUCCGUCCUUGGCCGACAGGCCCGGGCAAUCUUUGAACGCUGGUCGUGAUGGGGAUAGACUUUUGCAAUUUUUGGUCUUCAACGAGGAAUUCCUAGUAAACGCAAGUCAUCAACUUGCAUUGAUUACGUCCCUGCCCUUUGUACACACCGCCCGUCGCACCUACCGAUUGAAUGGUCCGGUGAAGCCUCCGGAUUGGCGCGCACCUCGGUGCCUCCGAGAAGUUGGCUAAACCUUACCAUUUAGAGGAAGGUGAAGUCGUAACA